GUCAAUGCUCGCAAGAGUGAACUAGCUAACUGGAAUCAUGAGUGUGUCACUUAUGAUAAUGUAAAGGAAAAAUAAUGAUAUCACUUUAUUAUUAGUGUUGUCCAAAGCUGGUGCCAGAAGACUCGGUAAUGCCAGAGACGCAAGCGUUAAUCAUCUUUAUCAGGCGUAAAGGGUUUGUAGGCUGCUUUAAACAAAAUAUAACAAAUAUAAUAUAUUAAGAAAUAGAGCUUGAAUCAUAUAGAGGUCACUAUAAGAGAACUCUUAGAGUAGGGUUGAUAUCUUUAAAUACUGAGAGGAAUUCUAAUUAGCGAAAGCACUUUUCCAAUUAAUGAUUGACGCUGAGAAACGAAGGUGAGGAUCGACAAUAGGAUUAGAUACCCUGGCAUCCCUCUCUGUAAACUAUGAAUGGUAGUUGCUAGUUCUAUAGAGCUAGUGGCGAUGUUAACACGUUAACCAUUCCGCCUUGUGAGUACAAUUGCAAAGUUGAAAAUAAAAAAAUUAGUCGGUUUCGGAGCAAACGAAGU
rnacentral:rRNA from 1 species